UCAUGGUGUGGGCACCCCUGGGGUGUUAGAGCUAUCCAUGUCGUGACAUAACAUUUUUGCAAAGUACACAACUCGAACAAGAUGACAAAAAAGGAUUUUUGGACAAAAUAUUUCAGAGCAGAAUAUCUCCAUAGUACAUAAAAUGCUGUUACAGCAGCAGAGGCUGCUGAAAACAUAUUGUCAAGUGCAGCUCAGCAGAUGGUACUCUUUCUGAGAGUUGAGAUUCAACGGGUUGAUCUAACUCUUGACAUGGAAACUGACCAAGGGGAUGAUUACAUGCAUCUCCCAGUAUGUGGGAUUAGACCACUCUUGUAGAGUUUCUUUUGGUAGAUUCAUUAAAUUAUUCUCUCUGUCUCUCCCUCUCUUCUUCGAGUCCGUUUGGAUAC